UACGUAGGCAGCGAGCGUUGUUCGGAGUUACUGGGCGUAAAGGGUGUGUAGGCGGUUGUUUAAGUUUGGUGUGAAAUCUCCCGGCUCAACUGGGAGGGUGCGCCGAAUACUGAAUGACUUCGAGUACGGGGAGAGGUGAGUGGAAUUCCUGGUGUAGCGGUGAAAUGCGUAGAUAUCAGGAGGAACACCGGUGGUGUAGACGGCUCACUGGACCGUAACUGACGCUGAGACACGAAAGCGUGGGUAGCAAACAGG
rnacentral:rRNA from 1 species